GACGAACGCUGGCGGCGUGCUUAACACAUGCAAGUCGAACGGUAAGGCCCUUCGGGGUGCACGAGUGGCGAACGGGCGAGUAACACGUGGGUGAUCUGCCCUGCACUUCGGGAUAAGCCUGGGAAACUGGGUCUAAUACCGGAUAGGACCCUGGGAUGCAUGUCCUGGGGUGGAAAGCUUUUGCGGUGUGGGAUGGGCCCGCGGCCUAUCAGCUUGUUGGUGGGGUGAUGGCCUACCAAGGCGACGACGGGUAGCCGGCCUGAGAGGGUGACCGGCCACACUGGGACUGAGAUACUGCCCAGACUCCUACGGGAGGCAGCAGUGGGGAAUAUUGCACAAUGGGCGCAAGCCUGAUGCAGCGACGCCGCGUGAGGGAUGACGGCCUUCGGGUUGUAAACCUCUUUCAGCACCGACGGAGCGCAAGUGACGGUAGGUGCAGAAGAAGGACCGGCCAACUACGUGCCAGCCGCCGCCGUAA
rnacentral:rRNA from 1 species